AGCCUUGUUGCAUCUUCAUUUUCCUGUCUCUUAAAGUGACUUGGAGCCUUCUGAGGUGGAAAGAUGGUGCAAACCAAGGGCAAGCCUGUUACAGAGGACAGAUGUCCCUGGAAGAGAAGGACUGUAAUGGCAUGACAUGACAUUCAUUGAAUUUAGGAAAGAACAGGGAUAAUCUUCAGAAUGAGAGAAAGAAAGAAAAUCUAUCCAGAAGAAACAAUGACAGAAGAUUCCUCCGCAUAUGCAAACACAAAGAAGUCAAUUUAUAUCUAGUUUUUUCAACAUGUCUUUAUUGCUUAAGGGCAUUUGGCAAGACAGCCAUAACAUAAACCUCAUGUCCAACAUUACUUGGCAACAUAUUUCCCAGCUGGAAAGAAAAUAAAUUGGAUUUUUUUCUUUGUGCUAAUGCCACAUUUUUGGAUGGUUUUUUGGAAGCUAAUCAAGAGAUGGCUGCUCAGCAUGCCUCUUCAUUCUUGAUGGGCUUUCAGUGCAAAAUUGCCAGCAGCAACUUUCUGAAGUCCCCAGAGGUGUCAGAGCGGACGGCUUCAGCCAAAGGCUUCUUGUACAUCUGCUGGAACUUCUCCUUUAUUGCUGGCAGGUCGCUCUGAGGAGACACCAAGAGCCUCUUUAGAAGAGUGGUGAAUGCUUUGAGUAACCUGCCCUGCCCCUGCCAGCACCCCUGGGGUCUGAUUCAAGGCCCACCACAGGAGUGGGAGUAGGAGAGGAGAACACAGGAGGUCUAAAACUCUUGGAGGACUUUGAGCUGAACAUUUGAAUUCGAGAGCUGAUGUGAGGAGUUACAGGACACAGGGUACCCUACCUCAGCCCUGGUCACAAGGAUGCGAAUCAAGGUCUCUUCAUCAGUCCCAGCUCCUUUCAUCGACUUGUGCAGAAGUGUGGCAAAGUAACCUGGGCAGUCUUUGGCACAGCUGACUAAAGAAAACAGUAAGAGGCCUCAUUAUACUUGUACAUUUACAGUUUGUGAUACAACUUCAAGCAGAAUUAAAUAAGUAAGAAAAGGAAACUCUAGUAUUUAUGCUUAGACAUAUGAACUGGCAGGGCUUUUAUUCUGAGACUGAUCCCCUAUCAGUAUGCAAGGAGAAAUCUUGGAGUCUGAAUGGGGAUGCCCAUUUUUCCACAAGAGAUUACCAGCACUGAGUACUCAGCCAUUCCACAGUGAAAACGACAUGAAUGAGGAUGAGCAUUUGUCCCCAUGGGGUUCCUCUGGCCCAUCCAUUGUUGGAGUAGCUGCUUGUUGUAUUGCACUAGAUAGUUUAUUUAGCCAUUUGCAGCUGCUCGCUCUGCAGAUCACAGGAGGAAGGUCUGUGAAAGUCUAAAUCCAGAUGGGUAACAGCAAUACAAGUGAGGCAGGGCACAGGUUUAAGUACUGGUCAAAGCCAACCCUAGUACUAAAUUGCUGUCUAGGACCCUGUACAUUUUUGUGGUGGCUGGCUAGCACACUUCUCAUGGUGUCCAAGCAUCUGCUGAAAGUUAUCACCAGCCAUUGUCCCAGAGGCAGCUUGGAGGUGGCUACCCUGUGUUAGAGAGCAAAAAAUUCAGCUUUUUCUGUGGAAAGGAGCUGUGGGUUGCAAGUUUUAGUUUUAAAACCAAGGAGUCCUAAUCACUACUGAAAGCUGUCUCUUUUUUCCCUGGCAGAUAUGUUAGCUCAGUUUAGGGGUAGCUCAAUGGCUGUUGCCAGGCUGUGCACAGACCCCCAGCAACCAAUGUCAGGUGACAGCAAGAACUAGAAAAGAAAGGUCUUGAAAUGAUUGCUUUUUACCUAGAGUCAGAUAAGCCUUCUCCAGAUCUCCAGAUGUUUCACUUUUAAUGGAUUCUUCUAUGUC